rnacentral:rRNA from 1 species
AACGAACGCUGGCGGCAUGCCUAACACAUGCAAGUCGAACGAGACCUUCGGGUCUAGUGGCGCACGGGUGCGUAACGCGUGGGAAUCUGCCCUUGGGUUCGGAAUAACAGUUAGAAAUGACUGCUAAUACCGGAUGAUGACUUCGGUCCAAAGAUUUAUCGCCCAGGGAUGAGCCCGCGUAGGAUUAGCUUGUUGGUGCGGUAAAAGCCCACCAAGGCGACGAUCCGUAGCUGGUCUGAGAGGAUGAUCAGCCACACUGGGACUGAGACACGGCCCAGACUCCUACGGGAGGCAGCAGUGGGGAACAUUGGACAAUGGGCGAAAGCCUGAUCCAGCAAUGCCGCGUGAGUGAUGAAGGCCUUAGGGUUGUAAAGCUCUUUUACCCGGGAUGAUAAUGCCAGUACCGGGAGAAUAAGCCCCGGCUAACUCCGUGCCAGCAGCCGCCGUAA